rnacentral:rRNA from 1 species
CGUAGGUGGCGAGCGUUGUCCGGAAUUAUUGGGCGUAAAGGGAGCGCAGGCGGGAAGGUAAGUCUAUCUUAAAAGUGCGGGGCUCAACCCCGUGAGGGGAUGGAAACUAUCUUUCUUGAGUGCAGGAGAGGAAAGCGGAAUUCCUAGUGUAGCGGUGAAAUGCGUAGAUAUUAGGAGGAACACCAGUGGCGAAGGCGCUUUCUGGACUGUAACUGACGCUGAGGCUCGAAAGCGUGGGGAGCGA